GCGCCCGUAGCUCAGUCCGGAUAGAGCGCUUGCCUCCGGAGCAAGAGGCCAGAGGUUCGAAUCCUCUCGGGCGUACCA
rnacentral:tRNA from 1 species